rnacentral:lncRNA from 1 species
UGGGGGCAGCGUCCUGCGCAGAGCCCAGCACAGGAAGGCGAGAUUUGUGGUGAUCCUGAAAUAGCCCCAAAGAGCCGCCUGCCACCCCCGUCAACCCCCGUCAUGCCCAGAAACCACACCAGGCCAAGGACAGAGGGCAACGGCUCCGGGGCCUUUGAAGCCCACGGGAGACUUGAAGAAACGUCCGGAAGACCAGGCUCUGCUGUGGGCCAGCCCCCGGAGCCAUGUGUGAGAAUCGCUCGGGGAAGGAGCGUGUGAAGCAGAGGGGAGGGGAGGGAGGGACGCAGCCCUGCGCACUCUGAAACCCGGCUUCUGGCCUCCGACGGGGGAGAGUGCAUUCCUGUGGCUCCCGGCCCCACGCCCCAGGGAGGGAGGGACCAUCCUCACUCUUGGCAGCCAGGACCCCGAAUGCAGAGCUUCCAGGACUUGUCCCAGGCCACGCAGCCACCCCGAGGCAGCCGGGACGCAGAGCCUGGCCCCAGCCCCAGCUCCGCGGUGCACAGUAUGGCCUCAGACAGCGGCCUCACGCCUCUGCACCUCAGUGUUUGCACCUGUAAAACGGGACUGGUCCUCAGCCUCCACCUCGAAGGGUUGUGUGGGGUUGCAUGGAAUUCGCCAAGGGAGCGAAGAGUCUGCGGAGAUCACCGCUAAUAUCCCCAGGGCCUGAGCCAGGAGGGUCCACACCCUGAGGCCACUCAGGCCCCAUCAAGGGUCAGCAAGAGGGAGGAAGCCUGGCAGCUCCGUCCACCCCCUCGGUCCUUCCUUGCUGAGCCAGCCCUCCCUGGGUCCCAGAAAGACGACGGGGGUGUCAGAGGUCCCUCCUGCAGGCCGGCCCAGGGCCCCAGCGAGCUGGGGGUUGGAGGGGAAUUCCCAUCCGCAGGGAGGCACCGGGGCUUCAGGAAAUGCCUGGGCAGAGGGAACAGGGCAGGCCUCCCACCCCAAUGCCAGGACCCCAGAUCUCCCACCCCAGACCUCCCACUCCAACACUGGGACCCCUGGGCCUCCCACCCCAAUGCCGGGACCCCCAGAUCUCCC